rnacentral:lncRNA from 1 species
UUUUUUUUUGCGUCUCUCCCCUCCCGUCCUCGCCGACGCAGCGGCUCUCGGAGAUGGGGGCCGGGUGCUGAGCCCGCCGCCCCCAGCACUCGCAGCCCCGCCGGGAUCGUUUGCACUUCCCCCCCCGCGCACCCCCGGGAACAAGAGCACUCAAGGUGAAGGAUAAUAAUCAACUAGCAUCAGCACUUUGAAGGAAAUUUUGUUUCCCUGUGGCAUCUUGAACACUUUCUUCGUGUUUUGAAACAGACUUAU